AUUGAACGCUGGCGGCAGGCCUAACACAUGCAAGUCGAGCGGAUGAAGGGAGCUUGCUCCUGGAUUCAGCGGCGGACGGGUGAGUAAUGCCUAGGAAUCUGCCUGGUAGUGGGUGAUAACGUCCGGAAACGGGCGCUAAUACUGCAUACGUCCUGAUGGAGAAAGUGGGGGAUCUUCGGACCUCACGCUAUCAGAUGAGCCUAGGUCGGAUUAGCUAGUUGGUGGGGUAAAGGCCUACCAAGGCGACGAUCCGUAACUGGUCUGAGUGGAUGAUCAGUCACACUGGAACUGAGCCACGGUCCAGACUCCUACGGGAGGCAGCAGUGGGGAAUAUUGGACAAUGGGCGAAAGCCUGAUCCAGCCAUGCCGCGUGUGUGAAGAAGGUCUUCGGAUUGUAAAGCACUUUAAGUUGGGAGGAAGGGCAGUAAGUUAAUACCUUGCUGUUUUGACGUUACCAACAGAAUAAGCACCGGCUAACUUCGUG
rnacentral:rRNA from 1 species